rnacentral:lncRNA from 1 species
GCCAUUCAGAAAGGCAAUAAGCAAGCUCUAAGAAUACGUGCUGAAAAUACAAUCCACCAGAAAAAGCAAGCAAUUGAUUUCUUAAGAGUGAGUGCUAGAGUUGAUGCUGUGGCAGCCAGAGUUCAAAAUGCAGUAACAAUGGGCAGGGUAACAAGUCCAUAUGAGGCAUAGUUAAGUCUGUGGGUGCUUCAUUGAGGAGUAGAACCUUGAAAAGACUUCUGCCUUGAUGAACAAAUUCGAACACCAGUUUGAAAUAUUGGAUAUUCAAACACAACAAAUGGAAGAUAAAAUGAGUAACUCUACAACCCUAACAACACCACAAAACCAAAUGGAUAUGCUGCUUCAGGAAAUGCCAGAUGAAGCUAGGUAAGAAGUUAUCCAGGUGAUUGUGGAAAAUCUUGAUUUAGUAUCUAGAGGUUCUAAAAUGCUGUGAUAUAGAUGAAAAUAUUUCUCUUUUCCACGAAUUGCCAGAGUUAGGUUUGUGACCCUAGAAUUUAGUGUUUCAAGGGACUUUAAACAGUCAUCUAAUUCCUUGCCAUGCUCAUAAAAAUUUGACUGUGUUUCAAUCAUCUUAGUAUUUUCUUAAAAAUUUCUGGAAAUAGACUCAUUUAGUGUGUGUAAAGAAAUAGGCAAAGGUGAUCAAAGGAAGCAGGAAUGUUUAAACAAUUACCUAAUACCUACUGUUCGCUGCAUAUAUGAAAUAUAUGGUGUGUUUUGUUUUUUGUUUUUUUUAAAAAAAGGACCUUCCAAAAUAAUUCUGCUGUGAUUAGGCCAUUGAGUCAUAAGUCUAGUUUGAGUACUGCAAACUGAGCAAUAUGUGCAAAAUGUGCAAGGGGCUCAAAAGACAGCAGUAUUACACAUAAUGAUUUGGUUGUUUCUUUUAAGUAAAUAGUUCAUACCCUUUUGUGAUAUUGUUAUUGGAAAUAGGGUGUAUAAUACAAGCUGUUUAUUUCAGGCCCUUCAUGUCAUGGGAGAAUGACUUAUCUAUGACAUCUUUGCUAUAGAGGUCAUGUUGUAUCAUUAUUCUCUGGUGUAAUGUUUGCUUCAAGAUAAUGUAGUAGUAAAAAA